rnacentral:rRNA from 1 species
CAAUAGCGUAUAUUAAAGUUGUUGCAGUUAAAGAGCUCGUAGUUGGAUUUCUGGUGGGAGCGAUCGGUCUGGCGCUUAGCGCGAGUACUUGCAUCGUCUCCGGCCAUCCUUGGGGAGAGUCUGUCUGGCAUUAGGUUGUCGGGCAGAGGAUCCUCAUCGUUUACUGUGAAAAAAUUAGAGUGUUCAAAGCAGGCUUAUGCCGUUGAAUAUAUUAGCAUGGAAUAAUAAGAUAGGACUUUGGUACUAUUUUGUUGGUUUGCGCACCAAAGUAAUGAUUAAUAGGGACAGUUGGGGGUAUUCGUAUUCCGUUGUCAGAGGUGAAAUUCUUGGAUUUACGGAAGACGAACUACUGCGAAAGCAUUUACCAAGGAUGUUUUCAUUAA